rnacentral:misc_RNA from 1 species
GUGAAUCAUCAAAUUUUUGAACGCAAAUUGCGCCUUUUUCGGAAGGCAUGUCUGUUUGAGGGCCCCAUUUAACAAAUAAUGUGCAUUUCGUGUGCACACGUUGAUGAGCUUUCCAAAUUUAUGUAUUAUUUUUGUUUGCGCAUAAUACACAGCACGAUGCUUUUUUUCAGUUCGAGUGUGGUAAAAUUUUUUCUUGCUUGGGUUGUGAAAAGCGUUCGCGCGCAAUGGGUGUGGACAUUU